UGUCUUCUUUCUCUAUCUAGGGUUAGAUCUCCGAUCAUACAACCAGACAGCCACCACCAUGGAGUGCUAGGAUCUAACUAACAAGUCAGCACUCCACCUAUAUCACUCUGCUAACAAUUAGUAUCUUGGCCAGGAGAAGAGAGCGAUGGCGGUGACGAUACUAUAGUGAUUGACGAACUACUGCGCAAUUAGCUAGCGUUUCGUUGGACUUCCAGCAAGCCGAUUACGGCGUUAAUCAGCUAUGGCCGAGAAGGGGGUGGUGAGACGAUUCACCUUGUCGACAUGUAUCAUUUCAGUCUUGAUGGUUGAGUUCAGAAUUGGUUGAUUAGGAGCUAAGAUGUCUUGAAGUUAUAUAUAUCUACUGGAAUAUUGUAUUGGGAUUAGCUUCAGUUUUCAUUUGUUAUGUUUUGAUUGUGCAAGGGAAGCCUAUGAAGAAUAGUGGGAAUCAAGUUUGCCACAUAUGUGGGGAAAAUGCUAAUAGCACAAAGAAAGAAAAAGUGCUUAUGCAUGUGAUGUAUGUGCAUUCCUAGUUCGCAGGUUGUGCUAUGAGUAUGAGCGCAAGGAUGACAAUCAGUCUUGCCAUCAAUGCAAAACUAGAUACAAGUGACAAAAAGGUUUCAUUCACUUAUACCAAUCUCUUUGCUAAUUUACUAUGUAUAUAUUGUCGGGUUAUGUGCAUAUAUUGUUCAUAAAUAAGAUUGAUAAGGAUCUGUUUUUAAUUUGUUGAUGAUAUUCCUGCAUUCUUAUCUUUUAUUUGGUCCAGAUGUAAAUUUUGCUCGGCAACCACACAUUG
rnacentral:lncRNA from 1 species